rnacentral:lncRNA from 1 species
AGGGUGGAAGGAGAGAGACAUAUCCCACAAAGUUGUCCUCUAAUGUCCACAUGUGAACUGUGGCGUGUAUGUGCUCGCACAAGCACACACACACACACAAAGUAUAAAUCUACAACAGUGAAAUUCCACUGUUUCCCUGGUAACCACUAAUAGCGUAAUGCAUUUCUUUCUAUUGAUUGUUUGGAUUUCCCCUCCUGGACAUUUCCUGUGUCCUUUGCUUAUUCCAAUUAAACUUCUUUUGGAGUUACUUUAUUUGUUUGAGUGUUUUGCCUGCAUGUAUGCUUGUGCACUACACACGUACACAGUGUGCACAGAGGUCAGAAGAGGGUAUCGGAUACACUGAGAAGACUUACAGCAGCUGCCAUGAUGGGACCUGAACCUCUGCAAGAAAACUAAGCUUUCUCAACCAUCAGUUAAAUAAUUUUGUAUGGUUUUAUCAUUUUUUUAAUUCAGUUUAAGCUGGGUGUGGUAGUACAUGCCUUAAAUCCAUCAUUAGGCAGAGGCAAGAGAUCUCUGGAUUUGAGGCCAGACUAGUCUCUGUAACAAGUUCUAGUAUAGCCAUGUCUACCUAGACUGUCCCUAAAUAAGUAAAUAAGUAAAAAUAGUUUACAUAGUUUUACAUAAAGGGCUGACAAAUGGUUCUGGGUGGCUCACCUACCAUCAAGCUUAAGACCUGAGUUCAAUCCCCAGGACUAGAUUUUCCAAGGUGGGGAUUCCCAAGAGACUGUCUUCUGACUCCCACAUUCAAACCAUGGCGUGUGUGCACACCUGCACACAAAAGGAAAACUUUAAAAAACCUUUCUUCCCAAUUCUAGUCUGUGUCUUGCGUGUGUACACGGGUGUUUUUUUUUUUUUUAUUCCUUGUGGAUUUUUGCUUAUUUCCAUAUGUAUGAGUUUCUGUGGUGUUGGAUUUGUGUUAUAUAUUUUAAUUUCAUUUUUAAUAAUUGUGCCUGUGGGGAUGUGUGCCCUCAGAGGUCAGAAGAGGAAGUCAGGUCUUCUAGAGUUGGACUCACAGGGGAGCUGUUUUUCUUCUAGUCACUGUUCUGUUGCUGCGAAGAGACACCAUGGCCAAGGUUGCGGAAAUCUCUGAGCUACAGAUACAGAUAGACCGUUGAGGUACAGCAGUCCCAGAACCUUGCUGCAGGAUGUGGACAAGCGAACCCUUUCUCCAUUUGGACAUUGCACCAAUAAGCUGGCCAGAGGAACUGGUGCCCCCUGCCUGCUGUCUGUUACCAUGGUCUCCUCCAAUUCCAACAAGAAAGACAGGGUUUCUCUGUGUAGCCCUGGCUGUCCUGGAACUCACUCUGUGGACCAGGCUGGCCUGGAAUUCAGAAAUCCGCCUGCCUCUGCCUUGCGAGUGCUGGAAUUAAAGGCAUGAAUGGGAACUAUGGGAACUUUGCAUUUUCUCUGAGAAGCAAAUGGCCACAGAAGUAGCUGCUGAUGCUCUGGUAAAGAGUGCAAGGGCUGUGUGGUCCAAAUCAGUAAUGGAAAUGACAGACAAGACUUCCCCAUGAAGCAAGGCUUCUUGACUCAGAGAGUACCUGCUGUUGAGUAAGGGGCAUGCUUGCUGUGGACCAAGGAGAACUGGAGAGGGGGGGCAAGUCUGUCUGUGAAUGUCAGUCUGAAGUUCUCAACUUCCUGGAGAGAAUGUAUGUGCCACGUUUUCACUAUUCAUUCAUCUGUCCGUGGACAACUUGGUUGAUUCCGGUUCUGCAGUGAAUAAAGCCACAACAAACGUGGACAUGCAAAAUC